CUCCGUCCAGGGUGCCCUCCCCCUCGAGCCUACGACCCUCGCGGGGCGCCGGGCUGGCCCACAAACCUCGCGCGGGACGGGGGCGCCUGGCUGGGGGGCCGCUCUGAGCCCUUCUUCGCCACCGAAAACCCGCUCCGGUAUCAUUCUGUAGGCGAAAAGAGAGCCACGACCCAGAGGUGGCCCUUUCCUGGGCCGCCUGGGCGGGGUGAGGAGCCCGCCCGGCUCUGUGGAGGGGCACAGGCCGCGGUCGUGACUCCUUCCCCGUCCUCAGGCUGUGACGAGGGCAGGGUGCUCAGCAUUUGGAACACCACACAACCAAUGUUGCUAUUUCCUUAGAGACAAAUUUUGGAAAACUGCUUCCUCCAUUUGAAAAUGCCUUGUAAAUAAUUCAGUUGCCUGCCUUCUAAAUGUUUAAUAUUUUUGUUCCAAUUGUAUGUAAAUCUAUAUUGUUUUAUUAUUAAUUAUUUGUAUUACCAGUUUCAUAUGGAGGCUGCACUCAAGAGCAGGGUCCAAUUGGUCUGAGUAUUAGGCAAAUGGAGUAAAAGAUGAAAAAUAUUCUUUAAGUUAGGGAGUUUACAGUUUUGAUUCAUGUGCUUGAUUGUGCAAGGUGUAAAAAGCUUCCUACAAUGUCAUGAGUAAACUAAUUAUAAAUUACUUUCAACAAGUUUUGGAGUCACUCAGCACCUAUGCCCCUAAAGCAUAAUAAUUCACAAAGGUAUUCUGUAAUCUACUUUACUCAGAUGCUAUCAUUCAGUAUUGUGACAAACAGUACCUUUUUAUUCAUGAUCAUCUGAACUAUGUCUUUAUAGUGUAUAGAUCAAACAAUUCCAAUCCAAUUUACCAUUGCUUUUUUUUUCUCAGGUAAAUUGCAGUUCAAUUUUAUGGAGUUCAGGGCAGUAUAUCAUAGUAAAGAAAGGUCUAUUUCUUUUAAGAUUCUGAAUAUUGAAUAGUAAUUAAGCAGCUAGUAACUCAGUAUUCUCAGGGGGGGUAAACAGACACUGAGAUUCACAUUUAUUAUGCUAAGUAGGCUUUUAAGUGGUGAUAGUGAUGGGAAUCCCCAAGCAUAUGUUAUCUGCUCUUUAUUUUAACCAUUUAAUGCUUUUCUUCCUGACAGGCUGCUGCCAUGAUUUGAUUGUAACCUGUGAGACCAAGCUGUACUGCUUGGUACAAGGAAUCGAUCAACAUAAUUUUGUAAAUUUGCCAGAAGAAUG